rnacentral:snoRNA from 1 species
CCCAGUGAUGGCACAUCUUUGAGACCUGAGAAUUUUCUUCUUUGAUGAAAAUCAUUAGCAUAAUCGCUUAGGGC